GUUUGGAAAUGAAAAACCGUAAAUUUGAAGUAAACUCACAGUGAUCUAUCUGCUCACUAUCCCCUUGAAGUGUUCACCUUCUGGGGGUAUCUUCACAACUCAUGAGGAUCCCCUUUCUCUAAGAAUGUCCCACACCGCCCCAGCAACCACCACCAUACAGUAGGACCAGUCCACCUGCCUGGAAAACAUCCUUGCUUGGAAGCAGCAGCAGCUUGAUGGGCCCCUCUGUCUUUAUGCCCCACCCCACCCCCACUAAUGGCCACAGUUGGUUUGACCAGAGGUGGAGUCCCAAUUCAAAGUGGGCCAAUCAGUUGCUCUCUUCAAGGGAUCUAGGCUUGAGAUGACCACCUCACCUUGGGGGAGCUGAGAAAACUGAUCUACCAAGAGAAACUAAGGGUUUCUGAAGAGAGUAGAGACCACCCAUGAGAGAGAGAGACAGACAGAGAGACAGAGAGAUUGGGAAACAGACUGACCAGAGAGAGGGACCUGGAAAGUGGAGAGAAACAGAAACAAAAUCUGAAAGACAGUCUGAGAAAAACAGCAUGUAGGGCAAGAGCGAGUUAGAGCUUGAGAGAGCAAAAAUCCCUGAGAGGGAAUAAGAGAAUCAAAGCCAGAGAGGGUGAUGGGGUGGAUUCUGAUGGCUUUGCAGUUCUGGGUUCCGUCCUUCCUGAGCUCUCCUGGCACAGCCGCCCCUGUUACUUGUAACCAAAAGCCUUCAGUGCACAAUUCCACCUCAGCUCCUCAGCUCCAGUUGUCCCUUUGCCUGAAACUCCACCUGUCCCUGUACCGCCUCUGACUUGGCUUAAGUCUUCUAGUCUUUCAAAACUGUUCUUGUCCUGACAUCUUGGUGAUGUUUUCCUCUAUCACCUUCAGCUGCUAACGCUCUCCAAACUCUAGAGACUGUUCUGCCUGGAAAACAUGCAUGCUUGGAAACAGAAGCAGCCUGAUGGGGCCCCUUUAUCUGCCUGUGGCCUUUCUGCCUGCCAUCUGGGGUCCAUCCUUGUACAGCUCACUCUUGGGACCUGGCUGAUCCACCACUGUACAGCAGGCUGAGACCAAAACCCCAGGGCUUUUCUAAAAUGACUGCUCUGUCCACCCAGUGUGUAGAGUCUCCACAGAGGAAGGGAACACCCGGAACACCCGAUGAAUCAUCAGCAGUUUGGUGAAGCAAAGGCAUCCUGGGAAUUGUGCUGUUAGCCUCACGAAAAAGACUGUAGAGAUGGUUUAGAUUCUCAUCUACACCAACUCCCUCAUUUAAAAAAAUAUUCAUUCAUUCAUUCAUUCAUUUUUGAGAGAGAAUGAACAUAUAACAUAUUAGUUUUAAGUAUACGAUCAACUCUUUCAUUUAUAGAUCAGGAAAAUGAGGUCCAGGAGAAGCAGACCAAAAUCACACUGCUAGCAGGGAGCGUGUCUGUCUUUGGAACCAAGAUGCUUAGAAAUUAGGUCACAUGAGUUCAACUCCAUAGUGUUUCCUCAUCUGAAAGAGAGGUAUCUGGCACUCCCUCCAGCCUCUACAAGCUGUUUCUGCUUGUGCCCUUGCGCCCUUACACCUGACAGCCAUACCUUCAGCAAACCAGCUCCUAGCUAUCAUUCAUAUUAGAUGUCACCUCCUUCAGGAAGCCUUCUCUGACCCCAACCCCUCCAAGACUGGUGCCCCCGUGUGUACUAGAUUUUAUAAACACAUAAAGGCCGCUCUGUUGCACACAUGGAUUGACACAGAGUAGGCAGUCAAUAAAUAUUUGGUGAGUGAAGAAAAACAUCAGGUACCAGCUACUGUCUGCUAGAGUCCAUUUAUUCAGGCCCUCAAUGGAGAACAGAAAGGGAAGGGUAUGGAGUGAGAGAACCCAAUCAGCCGACUUUUUCCAGCACCCUCUCUUUGUGAGUUUGAAGGGAACCGGGUAGUCAGGUUGAAGCACUGGCUCCCUAAGCUGUGAAGCAUCUGUGCUGCCGAUAGCUGAACACUUGACCCCUCAGCAGGGGCAGUCAAGUUCCCCAAAGAGUCAGUGAGGGCCGCUCCCCAGAAAGUGUUUUUGGAAGUGGGUCAAGGAGUGAUCACAAGGCCACUAGGCCCCAGCCCUGCAUUCACUCAUUUUCUUGGAGGUCAUGAGGAUAGGGUGCUCAGCCAGAGAAAUUUCUAAUUGAUUAUGAACCAAACCCUUGGGAGCUGGGCAGAUGCUGAUUCAAGAGCACAAAAUCUAGUCCAGGCCAGAGGUGGCCAAAAGGAGCCGCAACUGGGCCAGCCAGGAGAGGAAAGCUUUCUAUCUUGAUUAUAAAUGAUGCCUUCUCCUCCCCGAGUCCCCUUGGCCUCUUCCCUGACAGAUUCUGGAAGGAUUGGGAAAGGGGCAGUCUGUGUCUCAUCCAACCCCAUGCUCCACCACCCUGACUCUAGAUGCCUCCAAGAUUAUUCUGGCACCAUCCACUGGCCUCUGAUUUACUAUUUUAAACCAAAUACUUUUUCCAAAAGCCCUUUCCAUUUGGACUAGUUAUUUUACUCAAGGGGCAGGGGCUGUUAUGCACAACAGAGAUCUGGUAUCUGGAAAAGCUAGGCAUCUUUAGAAGAGCUUGGAAUAAAAUUUAAAAAAAGAAAAAGAAAAAAAA
rnacentral:lncRNA from 1 species